UACGUAGGGGGCAAGCGUUGUCCGGAAUCAUUGGGCGUAAAGCGCGUGUAGGCGGCUCGAUAAGUCUGCUGUGAAAGUUCAGGGCUCAACCCUGAAAUGCCGGUGGAAACUGUCGAGCUAGAGUCCGGAAGAGGCGAGUGGAAUUCCUGGUGUAGCGGUGAAAUGCGCAGAUAUCAGGAGGAACACCGGUGGCGAAGGCGGCUCUCUGGACCAUAACUGACGCUGAGACGCGAAAGCUAGGGGAGCAAACAGG
rnacentral:rRNA from 1 species